GACGAACGCUGGCGGCGUGCCUAACACAUGCAAGUCGAGCGAAGAACUUCGGUUCUUAGCGGCGGACGGGUGAGUAACACGUGGGUAACCUGCCUCAAAGAGGGGGAUAGCCUCCCGAAAGGGAGAUUAAUACCGCAUAAUAUUAGAUCUUCACAUGGAGAUUUAAUUAAAGGAGUAAUUCGCUUUGAGAUGGACCCGCGGCGCAUUAGCUAGUUGGUGAGGUAACGGCUCACCAAGGCGACGAUGCGUAGCCGACCUGAGAGGGUGAUCGGCCACAUUGGAACUGAGACACGGUCCAGACUCCUACGGGAGGCAGCAGUGGGGAAUAUUGCACAAUGGGCGAAAGCCUGAUGCAGCAACGCCGCGUGAGUGAUGAAGGCCUUCGGGUUGUAAAACUCUGUCUUUGGGGACGAUAAUGACGGUACCCAAGGAGGAAGCCACGGCUAACUACGUGCCAGCCGCCGCAGUAA
rnacentral:rRNA from 1 species